AAACAUGACUUUGAUCUGCGUCCUCAUCUGGACUCUCCUCUGCUGCUGCUUCACAGAGUCCAGAGGACAGAUCACAGUGACUCAGCCUGGAGCAGUGAGCUCUGCUGUGGGACGAUCUGUGAACAUCAACUGUAGGACCAGUCAGAGUGUUUAUGUUGUUAGCAUCUUCCACUAUUUAGCGUGGUACCAACAGAAAGAUGGCAAACCACCCAAACUUCUCAUUUACCGUGCUAGCAGGAGAGAUUCAGGGAUUCCAGCUCGUUUUACAGGCAGUGGAUCAAACUCUGUCUUCACUCUGACCAUCAGUGGAGUCCAGGCUGAAGAUGCAGCAGUUUAUUACUGUCAGAGUUUUCACUAUAUCAACAGUCAAGAUGUGUUCACACAGUGA